rnacentral:tRNA from 1 species
GGGGCUGUAGCUCAGUGGCAAAGUGCUUGCCUAGCAUGCAUGAAGCACUGGGUUCGAUCCUCAGCACCA